AUGAAACAAAACCUGCUGAUAUUGGUAGACCACCGCGGGAUGCUGUUCUUAAAAGUUUUCUUCAUGGUAUUAAGUAUGAGAGUGCUCUUUCUACGUUGGAUCCAAAAGGGGAGGGGUCCCAUCACAAAGAUUCUGCCGUUGAAGCAUCUGAAAAGCUUGAGAGGUUCUUUAAAUCAUUGGCCGAUGUUAUUGGGACUAUCACAUUCUCACAAAAUGACUGUUGUGAAAAUAUUGGUAGCGAUGAUUCUGGUCAAAGAACAUCUCAGUCAUUUGAUGAACAUGAAAAGCUUGUAG
rnacentral:rRNA from 1 species